rnacentral:rRNA from 1 species
GACAGAGGUGGCGACCGUUGUUCGGAAUCACUGGGCAUAAAGCGCGCGUAGGCGGCAUAGUAAGUCGGGUGUGAAAUCCCUCGGCCCAACCGAGGAACUGCGCUCGAAACUACUUUGCUUGAGGGCAGGAGGGGAGCCUGGAAUUCCUGGUGGAGCGGUGAAAUGCGUUGAUAUCAGGAGGAACACCGGCGGCGAAGGCGAGGCUCUGGCCUGUUUCUGACGCUGAGGCGCGAAAGCUAGGGGAGCAAACGGG